CCUGGCCGCUGUCCUCACCGGGCGGAGCACAGCCUUCCUGGAGAAGAGAGAUAUAACACAGGUUCUUUCAUUCCCUUCUUCAGAACUCCAUGUGGACAUGUAGCAUUUUUUUUCUAAUUAUUCUGAUAAAAUUAAGUUUUAAAAUUUCUCCAGAGAAAGAAUAACUUCAGCAAUCUCUUGCCUGCCUCAAGGGUCAUAUUACAAAGAUGGACUGUAGAUGGCAAAACACAGCUGGCAAGAUCCAGAGCUCAUGAAAGUGAUGAGCUCAUGAAUAAAAUGAAAAGGAGGCUAGGCUGGAGACAGAGAUGGGGAGAGGAGGCUGGGAAUGAAUUAGCGUUCGCCAGCUUUCUCCAGCAACCGUCACUGCGACCAUGGGAUCAGUUCACGGCUCAGCAUGAGGACUCCGGGCAGGGCUACGCGGGACACGGCGCCGAACAAUUCCCUUCCGAGGCAACAGACCAGGAAUGCUGCUGAGCCCACCGUGCGACAAAAAUGGUAUGCUUUCCUGAGACCAGUACAAUACUGUUUUGGUCACUGUAGCUUUGAGGAGCCACUCAGCAGAAAGAGACUCAUGAAAUGGAUUGAUGGGAAGAGGAGGAGCAGAUCUCCUUGCAUGUGCUCCGUCUUCCUGGGACCUCCCCCGCCAGCCCCUGGCAGCAGCUCUGAGCGACCACAGAACCACAGGCCUCCAUGGAAGACAACUGGAAAACCACGUCCCUGAAUAGCAAGUCCAUAAUUACCUGCAUGGCAACAAAGGCCUUCAGUAACCUAGCCUCCACUCCCCUCUCCAGCUUCAUCUCCUCCCAUUCAUCCCUCCAAGAUACAUUACUCUCUGUGGCUGGGCUGACAUAAUGGAAGUCACCAGCUAUAUGCAACUCUUUAAACUUAAAUUAAUUGAAUUAAAUAAAAUAAAAACAUAGUCUUGCUGUCAACUAGCCACCUCUCCAGCACUCAAGAGCCACGGUAGCCAGUGGCAGCCACGAUGAGUGUCACAUAUGCAGGACAUUUCCACCUCUCAGAAAGUCCUAGAGAUACUAAACUGAUUGCAGUUCCCCAAGCCCCGCACACUUUCUGGCAGCCUGUACACUCCACCUCUCCACCCAGCAUCUUCUCCUCUCUGUAGUCUGUUUCGUAAAUUCCACACAUUCUUCAAGACUCUGCCUGAAGGCUCCCACUGGAGGCUUUCCAGGAACUUUGCAAGUUCCUGUCUGAUUCAGGGAAAACCGGAGCACAUUUCCUCUCCGAUCCCUGGUACUCAGAAACUCUU